UGCGGAUUUGACAUUAGUCAAGUGGUAGGGGAGCGUUCUGUAAGCCGAUGAAGGUGUAUUGAGAAGUAUGCUGGAGGUAUCAGAAGUGCGAAUGCUGACGUGAGUAACGACAAAACGGGUGAAAAACCCGUUCGCCGAAAGACCAAGGGUUCCAGUCCAACGUUAAUCGGGGCUGGGUGAGUCGACCCCUAAGGCGAGGCCGAAAGGCGUAGUCGAUGGGAAAUUGGUUAAUAUUCCAAUACUUCUGUGUAAUGCGAUGAGAGGACGGAGAAGGUUAAGUCAGCCUGGCGUUGGUUGUCCAGGUGGAAGGAUGUAGGUAUGUAUCUUAGGCAAAUCCGGGGUACUCUAUACUGAGAUCCGAUAGCAAGCUGUACUUGUACAGCGAAGUGGCUGAUACCAUGCUUCCAGGAAAAGUCUCUAAGCUUCAGUUACACAGGAAUCGUACCCGAAACCGACACAGGUGGUCAGGUCGAGUAGACCAAGGCGCUUGAGAGAACUCUGCUGAAGGAACUAGGCAAAAUGGUACCGUAACUUCGGGAGAAGGUACGCUGUUGUUGGUGAUGGAACUUGCUUCCUGAGCUGAUGACAGCCGCAGAAACCAGGCCGCUGCAACUGUUUAUUAAAAACAUAGCACUCUGCAAACACGAAAGUGGACGUAUAGGGUGUGAUGCCUGCCCGGUGCUGGAAGGUUAAUUGAUGGGGUUAGCGUAAGCGAAGCUCUUGAUCGAAGCCCCAGUAAACGGCGGCCGUAACUAUAACGGUCCUAAGGUAGCGAAAUUCCUUGUCGGGUAAGUUCCGACCUGCACGAAUGGCAUAAUGAUGGCGGCGCUGUCUCCAGCAGAGGCUCAGUGAAAUCGAAAUCGCUGUGAAGAUGCAGUGUACCCGCGGCUAGACGGAAAGACCCCGUGAACCUUUACUGCAGCUUGACACUGAACUUUGACCUUACUUGUGUAGGAUAGGUGGGAGGCUUUGAAGUUGGAACGCUAGUUCCAAUGGAGCCGUCCUUGAAAUACCACCCUGGUAAUGUUGAGGUUCUAACUCUGUCCCGUUAUCCGGGACGAGGACCGUGUCUGGUGGGUAGUUUGACUGGGGCGGUCUCCUCCUAAAGAGUAACGGAGGAGUACGAAGGUGCGCUCAGCGUGGUCGGAAAUCACGCGUAGAGUAUAAAGGCAAAAGCGCGCUUAACUGCGAGACCCACAAGUCGAGCAGGUACGAAAGUAGGUCUUAGUGAUCCGGUGGUUCUGUAUGGAAGGGCCAUCGCUCAACGGAUAAAAGGUACUCUGGGGAUAACAGGCUGAUACCGCCCAAGAGUUCAUAUCGACGGCGGUGUUUGGCACCUCGAUGUCGGCUCAUCUCAUCCUGGGGCUGAAGCAGGUCCCAAGGGUAUGGCUGUUCGCCAUUUAAAGAGGUACGCGAGCUGGGUUUAGAACGUCGUGAGACAGUUCGGUCCCUAUCUACCGUGGGCGCUGGAAAUUUGAGAGGAUCUGCUCCUAGUACGAGAGGACCAGAGUGGACGAACCUCUGGUGUACCGGUUGUGACGCCAGUCGCAUCGCCGGGUAGCUAUGUUCGGAAGGGAUAACCGCUGAAAGCAUCUAAGCGGGAAGCCUACCUCAAGAUAAGAUUUCCCUAGGAAUUUAUUCCUCUAAAGAGCCGUUCGAGACUAGGACGUUGAUAGGUUGGAUGUGGAAGCAUAGUGAUAUGUGAAGCUGACCAAUACUAAUUGCUCGUGAGGCUUGACUAU
rnacentral:rRNA from 1 species